rnacentral:rRNA from 1 species
AAUGGAGGCAACUCUGACCAGCCAUGCCGCGUGCAGGAAGACGGCCUUAUGGGUUGUAAACUGCUUUUAUACGGGAAUAAACCUUGAUUCGUGAAUCGAGCUGAAUGUACCGUAAGAAUAAGGAUCGGCUAACUCCGUGCCAGCAGCCGCGGUAAUACGA